CUCUCUCAUACACACACACACACACACACACAUUUUGGGUUUAAAAUAUAUUGACUAUAAAGAGAAUGCCAGACAGAAACUCUUCAUGCCAAGUGUGUUAAGUAUCUCAUACACUUUGCCAAUUGAAGCCAUGUCAUUAGCAUGAGCCUAGGAAUCAGGGCACAGGGGGAAAGCAAGGGCCCCGCGGGAAGGAUGGGGGAGGGAAGUUCUCUGACGUGAUCACACUGAGCCUGUCCAGGGUUCUAACCAGGAAGAAGCUUCUUGAAGAAGUUGCUGCAGACAAAGGAAACACCAAGUGUGCAGUCUUUGAGCUCUCCAAGAUGGGAAAAUGGUCUGCUGAGAGCUAGAAGCAGUUUUCGGUCUCCCUGAAGGGGAAAUCUGAACAUCCUUGACCAGGCUGGUCCUUUGGUUUGGGGAAAACUUACCUCUGUGGUCCUUGGGGUAGGCAGAUGGCCUCAGAGAGGAGCCCUGUGACCUUCUCUCUGGUACUAUGCCUGCAGUGAUGUCAACUUACAUGGCAAAAGGGACUUUGCCGAUAUCAGUGAGGCUACUAAUCAGCUGAACGUAAAACAAAUCAUCCUGGAUUAUCCAGAUGUGCCCAAUAUAAUUGCACAAAUCCUAAAAACAGAAAAGAAAGGCAGAGAGAUUUUCAGUAUGAGUGUUUUAACAAAUUCUGGUGUACAGGGUACAAGAACCAGCCAUCAAAGACAGAAGGAAGGUGUCAACAGACUGAAGAAAGGCUGACAAAUCUAGGAUUGUACAAGGUGCCAUUUGUUAGGGACUUAGAGACAGAAGCACAUCUUGGGCCACAGCAAGGCAGGAAGAUCCGCAACCCCAAAGCAGGAGGAAAGGGUUCACAAAGGUAGGCCUUGACCAGAAUGUACCUGGGCUUUCUCUGUUUACAUGUCAAAAUGCAGUUAAGAAACUGUCCAACGACAUGCUCUACCUUGACAGUACUUAACUUAUCCUAAAGGGUCUGAAAAGCUCGAUACCAAGAUGACCGUAAUCACAUCAACCUGGAUCCCUGUAGCGAGCAAACCCACCAUUGUUGGCUUUGAAGAUGGAGGGGCUACAAACCAAGGAUCACAGACAGCUUCUGGAAGUGGAGAACACCUCCGGCUGUCAGUCAGUGAGGGAGCAGGAACCUCCAUCCUACAACCACAGGGAGAACCAGAAGCAGGUUCUUCCCCGCGUCUCCCAAAAACCCAGACUGAUGACAUCUUCAUUCUGGCCUUGUGAGACCCUAAGCAAAGGACUCAGGAGCCCAGCUGGAACUUCUGACCAACAGAAUUGUGGGGUAAUAAACUGUAUUUUUUGAGCUGUUAAAUAGUGGUUAUCUGUGAUGGCAGAAAUGGGAAAGAACACAUCUCUCUAAUUACACACUUAUAAAAAGGGGCAAGUUAUUAAUUUUUACAACAAUGCACUAAAUUCUGAGAUUUCUCAGAACAUUUAUUUAUAUAAAAAUAAAAUAGCAUUAUUUUAAAAGGGAGGGGGAUAGUUAUGAAACUGUGG
rnacentral:lncRNA from 1 species